AAAAAAUUAGUUAAAAAAAUAAUAUAAUUUUGUCAAAAUUAAGUAAUCAAUUUGAUAUUUUUUG
rnacentral:tRNA from 1 species